rnacentral:tRNA from 1 species
GGGGGCAUAACUCAGUGGUAGAGCACUUACCUAGCUUGUAUGAGGUCCUGGGCUCAAUCCCCAGUAUUGCCA